CUGCUGCUGUUAAUCUGACAUCCUUUGCUCCAAAAAAAAAAAAAAAAAAUGUGUUUUAUUUACAGGGCACAGCAUUUGGAAGUGCUCCUGUACCUUCUCGCAGGCAAUUAUACUACAUAUCCAGUCAGAAUGGCGAGCCAAAAUCUCAGCACAAGGGACAGAAAGUCAGCACAUACUCCCACCGAGGACCCUUUUAGACACCCACCGGGCAGCCAAGCAGCAGCGUACGAGAGCCAGAGCUGCCAGCUGUCCAACCUGUGUCUGAGCAGCCUCCUGAAGGAGAAGGGCAUGGCAGAAGUCAUCAAGCACAGCCGGGGCACGUUCGAAGCCCUGCCUUCAGAGGUGGCCCAGAACGGCGUGGCUGUGGCGGCCCCCAGCCCAGCGAAGGCAGCGUCCAAGGCUGACGGCUUCCCCAUGUUCUCAGGAGCUGCCAAGGACCCAGCUGUGCCCCGGCAGCACAGCACCUUCACGGGCAGGCUGGGACAGCCCCCCAGGGGACCCAUCUCUUUACACAUGUACAGCAGGAAAAACGUUUUCCUCCACCACAGCUUGCACACGGCGGAGCUGCAGACUUUGGGUCAACAAGACGGCUAACAAGGGGCUUAUUUUCUUGCCAUGGAAGGAGAGUUGAUUAAAGAGGGGUGUAAGCUCACCCAGAGCUCUGUCUUCAGU
rnacentral:lncRNA from 12 species